rnacentral:rRNA from 1 species
GACGAACGCUGGCGGCGUGCUUAACACAUGCAAGUCGAACGAAAAGACCCGACUUUUGCGGGUUUCUCGAUUGCGGAAGGGGGGUGUAACCCAGGAUUAACCGCCCCUUGUCUUUGUGAUAUCUCAGGGAAACAGGGAAUCUAACCGAAUAGGAGCUCUUGAACCUGGGGGGUGUUGGGAAAUUGUGGGCGGUGGGGUCUGGUCUCGCGGCUUACCCGCUGGUUGGGGGGGUUGUGGCUUUCCAAGCCUUUGACGGGUAGCCGGCAUGAGAGGGUGACCGGCCACAUUGGGACUGAGAUACGGACCAGACUCCUACGGGAGGCAGAAGUGGGGAAUAUUGCACAAUGGGCGGAAGCCUGAUGCAGCAACGCCGCGUGCGGGAUGACGGCCUUCGUGUUGUAAACCGCUUUCGCCUGUGACGAAGCGUGAGUGACGGUAAUGGGUAAAGAAGCACCGGCUAACUACGUG